UAGGGAAUCUUCGGCAAUGGGGGGAACCCUGACCGAGCAACGCCGCGCGAGUGAAGAAGGUUUUCGGAUCGUAAAGCUCUGUUGUUAAGGAAGAACGAGUGUGAGAAUGGAAAGUUCAUACUGUGACGGUACUUAACCAGAAAGGGACGGCUAACUACGUGCCAGCAGCCGCGGUAAUACGUAGGUCCCGAGCGUUGUCCGGAUUUAUUGGGCGUAAAGCGAGCGCAGGCGGUUAGAUAAGUCUGAAGUUAAAGGCAGUGGCUCAACCAUUGUAGGCUUUGGAAACUGUUGAACUUGAGUGCAGAAGGGGAGAGUGGAAUUCCAUGUGUAGCGGUGAAAUGCGUAGAUAUAUGGAGGAACACCGGUGGCGAAAGCGGCUCACUGGUCUGUAACAGACGCUGAGGCUCGAAAGCGUGGGGAGCGAACAGG
rnacentral:rRNA from 1 species